CUCUGCUCAGAUUGAACGCUGGCGGCAGGCCUAACACAUGCAAGUCGAGCGGUAGCACAGAGAGCUUGCUCUCGGGUGACGAGCGGCGGACGGGUGAGUAAUGUCUGGGAAACUGCCUGAUGGAGGGGGAUAACUACUGGAAACGGUAGCUAAUACCGCAUAACGUCGCAAGACCAAAGUGGGGGACCUUCGGGCCUCAUGCCAUCAGAUGUGCCCAGAUGGGAUUAGCUAGUAGGUGGGGUAAUGGCUCACCUAGGCGACGAUCCCUAGCUGGUCUGAGAGGAUGACCAGCCACACUGGAACUGAGACACGGUCCAGACUCCUACGGGAGGCAGCAGUGGGGAAUAUUGCACAAUGGGCGCAAGCCUGAUGCAGCCAUGCCGCGUGUAUGAAGAAGGCCUUCGGGUUGUAAAGUACUUUCAGCGAGGAGGAAGGCAUUAAGGUUAAUAACCUUGGUGAUUGACGUUACUCGCAGAAGAAGCACCGGCUAACUCCGUGCCAGCAGCCGCGGUAAUACGGAGGGUGCAAGCGUUAAUCGGAAUUACUGGGCGUAAAGCGCACGCAGGCGGUCUGUCAAGUCGGAUGUGAAAUCCCCGGGCUCAACCUGGGAACUGCAUUCGAAACUGGCAGGCUAGAGUCUUGUAGAGGGGGGUAGAAUUCCAGGUGUAGCGGUGAAAUGCGUAGAGAUCUGGAGGAAUACCGGUGGCGAAGGCGGCCCCCUGGACAAAGACUGACGCUCAGGUGCGAAAGCGUGGGGAGCAAACAGGAUUAGAUACCCUGGUAGUCCACGCCGUAAACGAUGUCGACUUGGGAGGUUGUGCCCUUGAGGCGUGGCUUCCGGAGCUAACGCGUUAAGUCGACCGCCUGGGGAGUACGGCCGCAAGGUUAAAACUCAAAUGAAUUGACGGGGGCCCGCACAAGCGGUGGAGCAUGUGGUUUAAUUCGAUGCAACGCGAAGAACCUUACCUACUCUUGACAUCCAGAGAACUUAGCAGAGAUGCUUUGGUGCCUUCGGGAACUCUGAGACAGGUGCUGCAUGGCUGUCGUCAGCUCGUGUUGUGAAAUGUUGGGUUAAGUCCCGCAACGAGCGCAACCCUUAUCCUUUGUUGCCAGCGGUUCGGCCGGGAACUCAAAGGAGACUGCCAGUGAUAAACUGGAGGAAGGUGGGGAUGACGUCAAGUCAUCAUGGCCCUUACGAGUAGGGCUACACACGUGCUACAAUGGCAUAUACAAAGAGAAGCGACCUCGCGAGAGCAAGCGGACCUCAUAAAGUAUGUCGUAGUCCGGAUUGGAGUCUGCAACUCGACUCCAUGAAGUCGGAAUCGCUAGUAAUCGUAGAUCAGAAUGCUACGGUGAAUACGUUCCCGGGCCUUGUACACACCGCCCGUCACACCAUGGGAGUGGGUUGCAAAAGAAGUAGGUAGCUUAACCUUCGGGAGGGCGCUUACCACUUUGUGAUUCAUGACUGGGGUGAAGUCGUAACAAGUUAACCGUAA
rnacentral:rRNA from 1 species